AGGUAUUUAGUUUAAGAAAAACAUUUGAUUUCGGCUCAAAAGAUUGUGGUUAAAGUCCCCAUCUACCUGU
rnacentral:tRNA from 1 species